rnacentral:lncRNA from 1 species
GAUAAAAUUGUUUAUCAGGUGAAGAUCUAUCUACCCUGAAAUUUUCAGAUGAAUCUGACAACCUGUUGUUGGGUUGCUGCCCCUGAAUUAGUAAUUUUAAGGAAAUUUUGCUGUUUUUGGUUAUUAUCUUGUAUAUUAUUAUAGAUAGAGAUAAACUGUAAACAGCCAUUAUGUUCAGCAAAGUAAGAUUUACAAAUAAGUCAACAUGACCGAAAUGGUCAGUUGACCCCUUUAGGAGUUAUUGCCCUUUAUAGUCAAUUUUUAACCAUUUUUCGUAAAUCUUAGUAAUCUUUUACAAAAAUCUUCUCCUCUGAAACUACUGGGCCAAUUUAAUCCAAACUUAUCUACAAUCAUCUUUGGGGUAUCUAGUUUAAAAAAUGUGUUCGAUGACCCGGCCAUCCAACCAAGAUGGCCGCCAUGGCUAAAAAUAGAACAUAGGGGUAAAAUGCAGUUUUUGGCUUAUAACUCAAAAACCAAAGCGUUUAGAGCAAAUCUGACAUGGGGUUAAAUUGUUUAUCAGGUCAAGAUCUAUCUGCCCCGAAAUUUUCAGAUGAAUCGGACAACCCGUUGUUGGGUUGCUGCCCCCUGAAUUGGUAAUUUUAAGGAAAUUUUGCUGUUUUUGGUUAUUGUCUUGAAUAUUAUUAUAGAUAGAGAUAAACUGUAAACAGCAAUAAUGUUCAGCAAAGUAAGAUUUACAAAUAAGUCAACAUGACCGAAAUGGUCAAUUGACCCCCUAAGGAGUUAUUGUCCUUUAUAGUCAAUUUUCAACAAUUUUUUAUAAAAUUUGUAAAUUUUUACUAACAUUUUCCACUGAAACUACUGGGCCAAGUUCAUUAUAGAUAGAGAUAAUUGUAAGCAGCAAGGAUGUUCAGUAAAGUAAGAUGUACAAACACACCAACAUCACCAAAAUACAAUUUUGUCAUGAAUCCAUCUGCUUCUUUUGUUUAAUAGUCACAUAGACCAAGGUGAGCGACACAGGCUCUUUAGAGCCUCUAGUUUCACAAAAGCAUUUAAUAUUCCUAAAUUUGUUUUAUACUCAUGAUACAUCUGAGCUUAACAAUAAGUUUUAAAGCAUUCCUUUUUAAAUAAAAAAUUAUAGGAACUUGGAUGAUUGCAGACAUAAUCAUUUUCACAUUAAUAUAUAAUGUUAUUAAGUAAUGCUUUCUUACAAUGUUUACACUACAUCUAGAAUAGUAGGAAGUGAGGGAUUAUGUUUUUGUCCCUUUCCCAUAGUAGGUUUCAAUAUUUAGUGAAAGUAUUUUACCAUGAAGUUGCAUUCAAAUCAACAACAUGUUACUUACUGUAGUACAUUCACACAAAUAGGAAGAUGUGUUAUGACAACUAACCACACAAGAGUCCAAAUCAAUUGAUGUAAUUAACUAUAGGUCACUGUAUGGCUUUGUAAAAUGACCUCCCUUAGUCUGCUAUUUUAAAAAGGCCUGAACAUGGCUAAAACUUGACGGAGAAAACCGAUGGCAUGAUAUAUAACAUAACAUUAAUGAAAAAAAAAUAUGAUAGACAACAAACAACAAAAAUUUCUGAAUUAUAGCUCUUCUCAAAUGUACCUUUUAACAAAAAAAUGGUUUAAAUUUUACAUCAAUUGAUCAUUCAGAUUCAUGUAUUUUCUUCAAAGAUUCUGUUGCUAGUAAUUUUAAAAACCAGAAAACAUAUUUUGUUGCCUAUUAUAUUUUAUAUUUGGGUAUUUCAUUAUGACAAUAAUUUGUAAAUUGAGUUGGAUAACUUUUUUUUACCAUUUUAAAAUUGAAGAAAAACAUUUUCAAAGUUUUAUUCCGUUAUCAGUUGAACAUAUAUUUUAAAAAUUCAUUUAUUUAGUAUCCAUUAGCAAGCAUAUCUGUACAUGCUAGUUAUUUGCUGAAUUUACUGCUUAUAAGUUUAAGGUAGAUAGGGUGUCUUCCUCCAUUUUGGAUUUUGAAAUACCAGAAAACAAGGUCUAGAUUUUAGAUAAAAUGUGCAAAUUUUGAGAUUAGUAGGUAAUUCAUGUGUAAGAUUUUUCAUUAUAAUAUAGAAAAUGCCAUGUUUUAUCAUAUUUAGGGUUGUAUUUUACCAAAAAAACAAAUACUUUUGUUUGAUUCAUUUUUUUCCAACUUUGCCAAAUAAGGGGAGACAACUCAAAUGCAAGGGCAGAUAAUUCAAAUAGUGUUACUUUUACAAUAGAAUAUGUUAGGAAUUUACCAAUUUUAUUAUGUAGCAAGAAAACGAGUCCGGUGACCCCAUUUUUUAUUCUUCUUAUCUGAAAAAAUAUUAUUGGAGCUAUCUUCUCAUAUUUUAUCUCAAAAUUCUAUUGUGUAGUUUUCGUUUAUGACUGAAAAUUGGGUUUUCCAUGCAUAAUCUAUACAAAAUCUGACAAUUUUGCACAAUCUGUAGUGUGAAAAUAAGUCCGGUGACCCAUUCUUUUUAUUAAUGUUCUUAAACAAGCAGGAUAUAAACUACAUUUUGGCAAAUUAUUAAGAAAUUCUAUGGAUUAUAAUUUAGACACCCCAUCUACCUUAAGUGAACUUUAUAUUUUCUUAAGCAAAUAAAUUCCUUGUUGACCAAUACACAUCUCUUCCGUAAAUCUAUCAGAAUAAGACAGUGUAUAUGUUCUACAUCAAAUAUGUGAUCUUAUGAGGGCUGUUCCAUUAUAAUGGAAGAGGUAGGUAGAGGAUUCUGAUAUACCCUAACACCCAAGAAACUUUCUUUGAGUAAUUUUUCAUACUUUUAGUCAUGUUAGUUGUACAAAUUUAUCAUGUUUAUACUGCUUUUAACCCAUGCUCAAAAAUAAUAUUUUCAUUUCUAUUCUCCCCCUCCCAUUUAACGAUAAAAACAUUUUCUGCUUUUUUUCAAAGGUUACCAGGGAUUCCUUAAUCAUGUGACAAAUUGUGUACGAACAUCCUGAUUGUAUAAAAUUUAUUUUCAUUUCUAUUCUCCCCUCCCAUUUAACAAUUAAAAACAUUUUCUGCUUUUUUUCAAAGGUUACCAGGGAUUCCUUAAUCAUGUGACAAAUUGUGUACGAACAUCCUGAUUGUAUAAAAUUUUCAUUUUCAUUUCUAUUCUCCCCCUCCCAUUUAACGAUAAAAACAUUUUCUGCUUUUUUCAAAGGUUACCAGGGAUUCCUUAAUCAUGUGACAAAUUGUGUACGAACAUCCUGAUCGUAUAAAAUUUUCAUUUUCAUUUCUAUUCUCACCCUCCCAUUUAACGAUAAAAAUAUUUUCUGCUUCUUUCAAAGGUUACCAAGGAAACCUUAAUCAUGGGACAAAUUAUAUACAAAUAUCCUGAUCUUAUUAGUUAUGCUAGUAAUAUAUUAGGUGUUUUUGUAUUUUUCCAUUAUUAGUGCUAGAAAAAGCAAAAAUUUGUAUUAUUACAGAGUUUGAUACUGAAAUGACACAAUUUGAAUCUCAUGCUUUCAGUAUAUGCUCACUUAAGAUAUUUUAUCAGACCAUUAUUAUGAACAGAAAUAAAUGCUGAAAAUAAACAUGAUCAAAGACUUAUGUUUUAUUUAUAAGAUUUAAGGUUGAUCUGAAACAAUUUUAUUUGGUUGAUGGAAGUUUUAUUAAGAUUCAAAUUCGUUUUUUGGCGUAAU